rnacentral:rRNA from 1 species
UACGUAGGGGGCAAGCGUUGUCCGGAUUUAUUGGGCGUAAAGAGCGUGUAGGCGGCCAGGUAGGUCUGCUGUGAAAACUCGAGGCUCAACCUCGAGAUGUCGGCGGAAACCAUCUGGCUAGAGUCCGGAAGAGGAGAAUGGAAUUCCCGGUGUAGCGGUGAAAUGCGCAGAUAUCAGGAGGAACACCAGUGGCGAAGGCGGUUCUCUGGGCAUUACCUGACGUGAGGAGCGAAAGUGUGGGGAGCGAACAGG